rnacentral:rRNA from 1 species
UUCGCCCUUAGAGUUUGAUCCUGGCUCAGGAUGAACGCUAGCUACAGGCUUAACACAUGCAAGUCGAGGGGAAACGAUAGAGAAAGCUUGCUUUUUCUAGGCGUCGACCGGCGCACGGGUGAGUAACGCGUAUCCAACCUGCCCAUCACUUGGGGAUAACCUUGCGAAAGUAAGACUAAUACCCAAUGAUAUCUCUAGAAGACAUCUGAAAGAGAUUAAAGAUUUAUCGGUGAUGGAUGGGGAUGCGUCUGAUUAGCUUGUUGGCGGGGUAACGGCCCACCAAGGCGACGAUCAGUAGGGGUUCUGAGAGGAAGGUCCCCCACAUUGGAACUGAGACACGGUCCAAACUCCUACGGGAGGCAGCAGUGAGGAAUAUUGGUCAAUGGGCGAGAGCCUGAACCAGCCAAGUAGCGUGCAGGAUGACGGCCCUAUGGGUUGUAAACUGCUUUUAUAAGGGAAUAAAGUGGGAGUCGUGACUCCUUUUGCAUGUACCUUAUGAAUAAGGACCGGCUAAUUCCGUGCCAGCAGCCGCGGUAAUACGGAAGGUCCGGGCGUUAUCCGGAUUUAUUGGGUUUAAAGGGAGCGUAGGCCGGAGAUUAAGCGUGUUGUGAAAUGUAGACGCUCAACGUCUGCACUGCAGCGCGAACUGGUUUCCUUGAGUACGCACAAAGUGGGCGGAAUUCGUGGUGUAGCGGUGAAAUGCUUAGAUAUCACGAAGAACUCCGAUUGCGAAGGCAGCUCACUGGAGCGCAACUGACGCUGAAGCUCGAAAGUGCGGGUAUCGAACAGGAUUAGAUACCCUGGUAGUCCGCACGGUAAACGAUGGAUGCCCGCUGUUGGUCUGAAUAGGUCAGCGGCCAAGCGAAAGCAUUAAGCAUCCCACCUGGGGAGUACGCCGGCAACGGUGAAACUCAAAGG